AACGGUCUAUACCUGCGGUACCUGCGGAGGGAUCAUUACCGAGUUCUCGCCCCUCGCGGGGUAGACCUCCCACCCACUGUGAUCACUACCGUCGUUGCUUUGGCGGGCCGCUGGGCCCAGCCCACCGCCGGCUCCGGCUGGCGCGUGCCCGCCAGAGGCCCUACAAACGCUGGAUAUCAGUGCCGUCUGAGUACACAUGUUAAUCGUUAAAACUUUCAGCAAUGGAUCUCUAGAUCGGAA
rnacentral:misc_RNA from 1 species